rnacentral:rRNA from 1 species
CGGCGUGCCUAAUACAUGCAAGUAGAACGCUGAAGAGAGGAGCUUGCUCUUCUUGGAUGAGUUGCGAACGGGUGAGUAACGCGUAGGUAACCUGCCUUGUAGCGGGGGAUAACUAUUGGAAACGAUAGCUAAUACCGCAUAACAAUGGAUGACCCAUGUCAUUUAUUUGAAAGGGGCAAAUGCUCCACUACAAGAUGGACCUGCGUUGUAUUAGCUAGUAGGUGAGGUAACGGCUCACCUAGGCGACGAUACAUAGCCGACCUGAGAGGGUGAUCGGCCACACUGGGACUGAGACACGGCCCAGACUCCUACGGGAGGCAGCAGUAGGGAAUCUUCGGCAAUGGGGGCAACCCUGACCGAGCAACGCCGCGUGAGUGAAGAAGGUUUUCGGAUCGUAAAGCUCUGUUGUAAGUCAAGAACGAGUGUGAGAGUGGAAAGUUCACACUGUGACGGUAGCUUACCAGAAAGGGACGGCUAACUACGUGCCAGCAGCCGCGGUAAUACGUAGGUCCCGAGCGUUGUCCGGAUUUAUUGGGCGUAAAGCGAGCGCAGGCGGUUUGAUAAGUCUGAAGUUAAAGGCUGUGGCUCAACCAUAGUUCGCUUUGGAAACUGUCAAACUUGAGUGCAGAAGGGGAGAGUGGAAUUCCAUGUGUAGCGGUGAAAUGCGUAGAUAUAUGGAGGAACACCGGUGGCGAAAGCGGCUCUCUGGUCUGUAACUGACGCUGAGGCUCGAAAGCGUGGGGAGCGAACAGGAUUAGAUACCCUGGUAGUCCACGCCGUAAACGAUGAGUGCUAGGUGUUGGAUCCUUUCCGGGAUUCAGUGCCGCAGCUAACGCAUUAAGCACUCCGCCUGGGGAGUACGACCGCAAGGUUGAAACUCAAAGGAAUUGACGGGGGCCCGCACAAGCGGUGGAGCAUGUGGUUUAAUUCGAAGCAACGCGAAGAACCUUACCAGGUCUUGACAUCCCGAUGCUAUUUCUAGAGAUAGAAAGUUACUUCGGUACAUCGGUGACAGGUGGUGCAUGGUUGUCGUCAGCUCGUGUCGUGAGAUGUUGGGUUAAGUCCCGCAACGAGCGCAACCCCUAUUGUUAGUUGCCAUCAUUCAGUUGGGCACUCUAGCGAGACUGCCGGUAAUAAACCGGAGGAAGGUGGGGAUGACGUCAAAUCAUCAUGCCCCUUAUGACCUGGGCUACACACGUGCUACAAUGGUUGGUACAACGAGUUGCGAGUCGGUGACGGCAAGCUAAUCUCUUAAAGCCAAUCUCAGUUCGGAUUGUAGGCUGCAACUCGCCUACAUGAAGUCGGAAUCGCUAGUAAUCGCGGAUCAGCACGCCGCGGUGAAUACGUUCCCGGGCCUUGUACACACCGCCCGUCACACCACGAGAGUUUGUAACACCCGAAGUCGGUGAGGUAACCUUUUGGAGCCAGCCGCCUAAGGUGGGAUAGAUGAUUGGGGUGAAGUCAUAA